GACAGAGGUCUCAAGCGUUGUUCGGAUUCAUUGGGCGUAAAGGGUGCGUAGGCGGCGCGGUAAGUCGGGUGUGAAAUUUCGAGGCUUAACUUCGAAACUGCAUUCGAUACUGCCGUGCUUGAGGACUGGAGAGGAGACUGGAAUUUACGGUGUAGCGGUGAAAUGCGUAGAUAUCGUAAGGAAGACCAGCGGCGAAGGCGGGUCUCUGGACAGUUCCUGACGCUGAGGCACGAAGGCCAGGGGAGCAAACGGG
rnacentral:rRNA from 1 species